UACGUAGGGUCCGAGCGUUGUCCGGAAUUACUGGGCGUAAAGAGCUCGUAGGCGGUUUGUCGCGUCUGCUGUGAAAACCUAAGGCUCAACCUUGGGCUUGCAGUGGGUACGGGCAGACUAGAGUGCGGUAGGGGUGACUGGAAUUCCCGGUGUAGCGGUGAAAUGCGCAGAGAUCGGGAGGAACACCCGUAGCGAAGGCGGCACUCUGGGCCGGUACUGACGCUGAGGAGCGAAAGCGUGGGGAGCGAACAGG
rnacentral:rRNA from 1 species